UACGAAGGGGGCUAGCGUUGUUCGGAAUCACUGGGCGUAAAGGGCGCGUAGGCGGCCGAUCAAGUCGGGGGUGAAAGCCUGUGGCUCAACCACAGAAUUGCCUUCGAUACUGUUUGGCUUGAGACCGGAAGAGGUUAGUGGAACUGCGAGUGUAGAGGUGAAAUUCGUAGAUAUUACGGAAGAACACCAGUGGCGAAGGCGGCUCACUGGUCCGGUACUGACGCUGAGGUGCGAAAGCGUGGGGAGCAACAGGG
rnacentral:rRNA from 1 species